rnacentral:lncRNA from 1 species
AGACAAAGCUGAAACAAAAUCUGCUCAAAUCUCCCUCAUUAAAUGAUGAACGCCUAUUUUGCCGUUCAAAAUCCCACGCUCUUAAUUUCAAACGUUAGAGAUAAAAGUCUUGCCCAAAGAACUCUAGAAUUUGCCUAUAAAUACCAAGCCAUUGCAGCCAUUAAGAACAAGCUGGAGAUCCCAAAAUAUUCGGUUCAUAUCAUACUCUGCUUUUCUUUUAAUCUUUACAAUAUGUGAAAAUUUUCUUAAUAUUUAGCCUCCAUUUUUAUAAUCUCCAUACAUAAGGAGUAGCCUAAAGUUCAAUGCCCCACAAACUCAUGUAUACUUUGGGAGCAACAUGGAGCCUUAGUGCAAGACACUUCCUGCUUGCAUGGAGUCAUCCCACUCUAUCUUCUUUAACCGCAUCAGAAAAGAAGAAAACAAGCGAGAAAAUCACUUGGGGAUGCCUAUGACAUCUUUCCUAUAUUUUAUUUAUUAUUUGUUCUGUGUUAACGCUUUUAUGAUUGCUAUGUUGAAAUUCUCACUCAGAAUAGGAUUAUCAGUAAAGUUUUACUUAAUCACUUAGGGUCUUUCCUCUAUCUCAUUAUUGAAGUAAUUGUUUUAUCACAAAAAAAAAAGACAUUUUGGUCCCAGCUAACUUCCUUCCUAGAAGCAACACAGUUGUUCGAAUUUCUUCAAAUCUUGCUAUCAAAAAUUGUCACUUUUCAUGAUAACUUUUUUAGUAAAAUGUACUAUCCCUUUUAUUAUUUCCUUAAUGUUAUGAAAUAGAAGAUUCUUACACUUCUAUUUAAGGUGAAUGUCUUUAAUGUAUCU